GAUGAACGCUGGCGGCGUGCCUAACACAUGCAAGUCGAGCGAUUUACUUCGGUAAAGAGCGGCGGACGGGUGAGUAACGCGUGGGUAACCUGCCCUGCACACACGGAUAACAUACCGAAAGGUAUGCUAAUACGAGAUAAUAUACUUUUAUCGCAUGGUAGAAGUACCAAAGCUUUUGCGGUACAGGAUGGACCCGCGUCUGAUUAGCUAGUUGGUAAGGUAACGGCUUACCAAGGCGACGAUCAGUGGCCGACCUGAGAGGGUGGGCGGCCACAUUGGAACUGAGACACGGUCCAAACUCCUACGGGAGGCAGCAGUGGGGAAUAUUGCACAAUGGGCGAAAGCCUGAUGCAGCAACGCCGCGUGAGCGAUGAAGGCCUUCGGGUCGUAAAGCUCUGUCCUCAAGGAAGAUAAUGACGGUACUUGAGGAGGAAGCCCCGGCUAACUACGUGCCAGCCGCCGCCGUAAGAC
rnacentral:rRNA from 1 species